UACGUAGGUGGCAAGCGUUAUCCGGAUUUAUUGGGCGUAAAGGGAACGCAGGCGGUCUUUUAAGUCUGAUGUGAAAACCUUCGGCUUAACCGGAGUAGUGCAUUGGAAACUGGGAGACUUGAGUGCAGAAGAGGAGAGUGGAACUCCAUGUGUAGCGGUGAAAUGCGUAGAUAUAUGGAAGAACACCAGUGGCGAAAGCGGCUCUCUGGUCUGUAACUGACGCUGAGGUUCGAAAGCGUGGGUAGCAAACAGG
rnacentral:rRNA from 1 species